rnacentral:rRNA from 1 species
AUUGAACGCUGGCGGCAGGCCUAACACAUGCAAGUCGAACGAGUGGCGGACGGAUGAGUAAUGUCUGGGAAACUGCCUGAGGGAGGGGGAAAACUAGGGGAAACGGUAGCUAAUACCGCAUACCAUCGGAUGUGCCCAGAGGGGAUUAGCUGGUAGGUGGGGUAAAGGCUCACCUAGGCGACGAGCCCUAGCUGGUCUGAGAGGAUGACCAGCCACACUGGAACUGAGACACGGCCCAGACUCCUACGGGAGGCAGCAGUGGGGAAUAUUGCACAAUGGGCGCAAGCCUGAUGCAGCCAGGCCGCGUGUAUGAAGAAGGCCUUCGGGUUGUAAAGCACUUUCAGCGAGGAGGCGUUACUCGCAGAAGAAGCACCGGCUAACUCCGUGCCAGCAGCCGCGGUAAUAC